rnacentral:ncRNA from 1 species
UACCUGGUUGAUCCUGCCAGUAGUCAUAUGCUUGUCUCAAAGAUUAAGCCAUGCAUGUCUAAGUAUAAACAAAUUUGUACUGUGAAACUGCGAA